rnacentral:rRNA from 1 species
AAAAACAACCCACGUGAAUGUACUCUGUAUUAGGCUUUGGCCGCACCAUCGUGAUGGUGAGUGGCUAGCCGAAGGCUUCGCAAGAAGCCGAUGAAAUUUGAAUCCUUUUGAACCAACGACUGAUCAAAACUGCAGGCAGAAAUGCGUGCAUCGAAUUGAAAUACAACUUUCAGCAGUGGAUGUCUAGGCUCGCACACCGAUGAAGAACGCUGCGAACUGCGAUACGUAAUGCGAAUUGCAGAAUUCAGUGAGUCAUCAAAAUUUUGAACGCAUAUUGCACUUCCGGGUUAGUCCUGGGAGUAUGUUUGUAUCAGUGUCCGUGAACACAAACUUGUUUCAUUCCUCUAGGGGGAUGAAGCAGACAUUGAAGUGUCUUGCUUCGGCAAGUCCUUUGAAACGAUGGUACCUGUGCGUCCUCGUGAGAUGUAUUACACAAAGGUAUGCAUGCGCUCUAUUUCGACAGUCUUGUGUGAAAGCACCCGACACUCAACGAAAGAGCAAAUAGCGGUAGUUUUGCUUGUGCUUCGGCACGAGUGGACACAUAUUGCUUUUUGAUCGUUCGGCGAGGUCGGUGCUGGAAGGCAAGGCACGGGAUGGAAGUAUGUCUACUGGUGCAUUUCUUGGCGUAUGGAAGCAAAUUGGGAAUUCAAUCCAAUUUGGACCUGAUAUCAAA